GAUGAACGCUGGCGGCGUGCCUAAUACAUGCAAGUAGAACGCUGAAGGAGGAGCUUGCUCUUCUGGAUGAGUUGCGAACGGGUGAGUAACGCGUAGGUAACCUGCCUGGUAGCGGGGGAUAACUAUUGGAAACGAUAGCUAAUACCGCAUGACAACAGUUAUUGCAUGAUAACUGUUUAAAAGGGGCAACUGCUCCACUACCAGAUGGACCUGCGUUGUAUUAGCUAGUUGGUGAGGUAACGGCUCACCAAGGCGACGAUACAUAGCCGGCCUGAGAGGGGGAUCGGCCACACUGGGACUGGGACACGGCCCAGACUCCUACGGGAGGCAGCAGUAGGGAAUCUUCGGCAAUGGACGGAAGUCUGACCGAGCAACGCCGCGUGAGGGAAGAAGGUUUUCGGAUCGUAAAGCUCUGUUUUAAGAGAAGAACGAGUGUGAGAGUGGAAAGUUCACACUGUGACGGUAUCUUACCAGAAAGGGACGGCUAACUACGUG
rnacentral:rRNA from 1 species